AUGUACGGCUCUCCAUACUUUUAGCUGUGCAUGACAUAAAAAAAGGAGGAAAUAAAUAUCCCUUGUGCUCAGGGUGCGGCAGUGUGGAGACCUGUCGUAAUGCAUGUCUGUUUUUACGGCAUGUGAGGCUGCAUCAUGGCGGAUGCCGUGCAGUCGGGGCAGAGAAGUAUGGCA
rnacentral:ncRNA from 1 species